AGGAUUAUAGUUUAAAUUAAAACUUUUGAUUUGCAGUCAAAUAAUAUUAUAUUAAUAAUUUAUCUUA
rnacentral:tRNA from 1 species